rnacentral:rRNA from 1 species
UACGUAGGGUGCGAGCGUUGUCCGGAAUUAUUGGGCGUAAAGAGCUCGUAGGCGGUUUGUCGCGUCUGCUGUGAAAACUCGGGGCUUAACUCCGGGCCUGCAGUGGGUACGGGCAGACUAGAGUGCGGUAGGGGGAGACUGGAAUUCCUGGUGUAGCGGUGAAAUGCGCAGAUAUCAGGAGGAACACCGGUGGCGAAGGCGGGUCUCUGGGCCGUAACUGACGCUGAGGAGCGAAAGCGUGGGGAGCGAACAGG